GCAUGGCAGAAUACUGUGUUCUUUUGUUGGUAAUUUACACAGCCAGACACCAUGCAAAAGUAAAGUCUUCGUUUUAAAAUGACUAUGAUGGUAUGCUGUUUUUACAUAGUAUGUCAUUAUUAAAAAUGAAUACAAAU